GACGAACGCUGGCGGCGUGCCUAAUACAUGCAAGUUGAGCGCUGAAGGUUGGUACUUGUACCAACUGGAUGAGCAGCGCACGGGUGAGUAACGCGUGGGGAAUCUGCCUUUGAUCGGGGGACAACAUUUGGAAACGAAUGCUAAUACCGCAUAAAAACUUUAAACACAAGUUUUAAGUUUGAAAGAUGCAAUUGCAUCACUCAAAGAUGAACCCGCGUUGUAUUAGCUAGUUGGUGAGGUAAAGGCUCACCAAGGCGAUGAUACAUAGCCGACCUGAGAGGGUGAUCAGCCACAUUGGGACUGAGACACGGCCCAAACGCCUACGGGAGGCAGCAAGAGGGAAACUUGGGCAAGGGACGAGAGUCUGAGCGAGCAAGGCCGCGGGAGUGAAGAAGGAUGUCGGAUCGUAAAACUCGGUUGGUAGAGAAGAACGUUGGUGAGAGUGGAAAGCUCAUCAAGUGACGGUAACUACACAGAAAGGGACGGCUAACUACGUG
rnacentral:rRNA from 1 species